GAUGAAGAACGUAGCGAAAUGCGAUAAGUAAUGUGAAUUGCAGAAUUCAGUGAAUCAUCGAAUCUUUGAACGCACCUUGCGCCCUUUGGCUAUUCCGAAGGUCAUGCCUGUUUGAGUAUCAUGAACACCUCAACUCUCAUGGCUUGCCAUGAUGAGCUUGGACUUUUGGGGGUCUUGCUGGCCUGUGGUCAGCUCCUCUCAAAUGAAUUAGCCUGCCAGUGUUUGGUGGCAUCACAGGUGUGAUAACUAUCUACGCUUGUGGUUUUCCACCAGGUAACCUUCAGUGAUGAAGGUUCGCUGGGGCUCAUAAACGUCUCUCCUCAGUGAGGACAGCUCUUUGAACGUUUGAUCUCAAAUCAGGUAGGACUACCCGCUGAACUUAAGCAUAUCAAUAAGCGGAGGA
rnacentral:misc_RNA from 1 species